AAGUCGUAACAAGGUCUCCGUAGGUGAACCUGCGGAGGGAUCAUUAACACGUUUUAAAACACGUUUUAUACCAACCAACCGCGUGAACUAUUUAACACCUGUUUCAUUUCAUUUACAGUAACAUGUGAAUGAAUGAGGCAAAACCAACAACUUUCACCAUUUCUAUAACCAUUGACUGAUCUUCUUUUUCUACUGUGGCAACAUAGUAUGAACUGGAAACUAUAAUCAAAUAUCUAAGCACAACUCUUAGCAACGGAUAUCUUGGUUCUC
rnacentral:misc_RNA from 1 species